AGGUAACUGUCAAGAGAGGAUUUGGGUGACAAAGAGGCCAGUUUCGGCGCUUAGCAAAUGAUUUUCGGCUUGUCAUUUCAAUGGGCUGUGUUUUUCAGAGAUUGUGGGUGAGUUUUUCUUUUCUCCUUUCUUUUUGAAUAGCAUUUAUUACCGUGCUUUAAAAAUUUUUUUUGUGUUUGUUCUCUUUGCAGUCGUCCUUCCUUCUUCACAGAUGCCACUUUUCCACCCGUCCCGGGUCUUCUGGAUGCGACUUUCUCCCCCAAUAAAAUAAGAUUAAAUGAGACACACAACAGAUCUGGGAGGCCAAGGAGGGGAGAAGACGUUGUGUGGGGAGCGGAUAGUUUGGAGGUGGGGAAGAGAGGGCAGGGGUCCAAGUGGAGGCCGGAGGGGACCUCUGGGGAUGUUAAGACUGACCUGGGGCUCAGCUUGCCCGGCUCUGGCCUCGGACCUCACUGGUGGCCGCCGGUCUUUCUCAGGGUGGAGAUUAGUGACCCAUCCUUGUCCUCUCCCCCUCUGGGAAUUAGUGUCCAGCAGCCCCCUCGCUGUCCAGACCCCAGCAUUGUAAUCUGGAUGGCUUACGAGGGCCCCAGGUCUGUAAAGAUGGUGUGUCACAGGCUGUCGUCCGAUGGCCAUCCAGCAAAAUUCUGUUGUGACCGCCUGUCCCCCGUUGUCAGCUCUCCAGAUAGGCAGGAAUACAGAGGGACGGGACACAGCACACACAGUCAGUUACAAUGUCGGAAGCGCACCUUCUGCCCCUCCCAGUGAAAGCAAGCAUCGCUUUUUUCUUUUUAUUUUGGCCUGUGGGGGCUUAGUUCCCUGACCAGGGAUCGAAUCGAAGCCCCCCUGCACUGGAAGGCAGAGUCUUAGCCAUUGGACCGCCAGGGAAGUCCCAGCAUCCUUUGAAAGAGCUCUUUUAAGAGGGUAUGACCAGGAAUCAGGGUGAAGCCUGAGGGCUCCAGCUGCAGCUGGGCAAGUCUGUUUCAAUUCCUGGGCCUCUCUUUUUCUCAUCUGCGAAAUGGGCCAGUGGGACCCAGUCGUGGCUCCACACAUUUUUCAAAACCCCAGAGCAGGAGAUCAUUAGCAGUUAGGAAAAUGCACAUUCAAACCACAGUGAGAUGUCAUCACUCCCCUAUCAGAAUGGACAAGGCAGUGUCCCUGGGAUGGACAGAGCCAGGGCAGCAUCGCAGGAGAGAUGCGGGGGCCCAGGAUGGGGAGGAGUCUUGUCAUCAGAGGGGCUGAGCUCAUGAAUGCUUUGAAAGCAUGCUGCCCCACAGGGUAUUCCCCCAUGGUCAUCGGCCAGCCUCUGAGCAGAUUUAGGACUCAUCUUUGAUGGAUCUGGGAUCCCCCCUCAUUGAGGGCCCAGAGCCUCUUUUCCCUUAAUAUUUAUUUCUUUGGCUGCUUCGGGCCUUAGUUGCAGUACAUGGGAUCUUCAUCACAUCAUGCCAAAUCUUCCCUUGUGGCGCAGGGACUCUAAUUGUGGCACAUGGGCUUAGUUGCUCCCCCAGCAUAUGGGAUCUUAAUUCCCCAACUGGGAAUUGAACCCACAUUCCCUGCAUUGCAAGGCGAAUUCUCAACCACUGGACCACCAGGCAAGUCCCCUCAGAGCCUCUUGAGAAGCUGCCAGCUCCCAGAAGGGCCACCUGCACUACCCCCCUACCCUUCCCAUCCAUGCUCCGCACCGUACAGACUGGCCCUAUGGCUAUAGUCCUAGGCCACCUCUGAGACAGGCUGCGUUUUAUUAGUACCAGAAAGUCGAGUGCUGUGAUUCAUGGGCUUCGGGAAGAACUGGCUCCAUGCCCCAGGCGUAUUGACAGGUAGACGGGAAUUACAGGCUGGUGAAGAGUUUGCAUGUAGGUUUCUUGGGAGGGGGGAAUGAACUCCUACCAGCCUCUCCCCACCCCACUUCCCACAUACCCCGCUUCCACACGGAAGCUCUGCUGCCCAGCCCUGGUCCCCAUGCUGGGGGGCAGACACUCCCUUGCCUCCUUCCCACUGCUUCCUGUUGGCAAGUUUAGACUAGGGCCCCCAGCAUGGUCCAGUUGUGGUGACUGAUGGUCAGACCUGGGAUGCUGUGGGCCUGGGAACAUCCCUAGGGUCCCUUCUGUAAUGAUUAAGGAUGAUUAUUGCCUGGCAGGUACUUAAAAGACACUGGAGGAAUAGAUGGAUGGAAGGGUGGAUGAAUAAUGGAAGGAUGAAUGGAUAGAUGGAUGGGUGGGUGGGUGGAUGGAUGGAAGGAUGGAUGGAUGGAUGGAUGGAUGGGUGGGUGGAUGGAAGGAUGGAUGGAUGGAUGGAUGGAUGGAUAGAUGGAUGGGUGGGUGGAUGGAUGGAUGGAUGGAUGGAUGGAUGGAUAGAUGGAUGGGUGGGUGGAUGGAUGGAUGGAAGGAUGGAUGGAUGGAUGGAUGGAUGGAUAGAUGGAUGGGUGGGUGGAUGGAUGGAUGGAUGAGCAGAUAGAUAGAUGGAUGGAUGGAGGGAGAGAGGGAGGGAUGGAUGGAUGAAUGGAUUGAUGGAGGGAUGGAGGAAUUGAAGGACGUAUGAAUGGAUGGAUGGAUAGGCAGAUAGAUGCAUGGAUGGAUGGAGGGAUGGAGGGAUGAAUGGAUGAAUGAGGGAUGGAUGGGUAGAUGGAUGGAUGGAUGGAUGGAUGGAUGGAUAGAUGGAUGAAUGAAUAGAUGGAUGGAUGGAUGGGCAGAUGGAUGGAUGGAUGGAUGGAUGGAUGGAGGGAGAGAGGGAGGGAUGGAUGGAUGGAUGGAUGGAGGGAUGUGUGAAUGGAUGGAUGACCAGAUAGAUGGAUGGAUGGAUGGAUGGGAGGAUGGAUAGAUGGAUGAAUGGAUGGAUGGAUGGAUGGGCAGAUAGAUGGAUGGAUGGAUGGAGGGAGGGAGGGAUGGAUGG
rnacentral:lncRNA from 1 species